CAGGAACCCGGUGCGAAUCCGGGGCGGUCCCGCCACUGUGACCAGGGAGCAGGCCCGCAUACUCCGCCACUGCCGGACCUCACCGGUGGGAAGGCGCGGGCGAGCGAGGAUCUGGGAGCCAGGACACUG
rnacentral:ncRNA from 2 species